rnacentral:rRNA from 1 species
GGGUUGUGAGGUUAAGCGACUAAGCGUACACGGUGGAUGCCCUGGCAGUCAGAGGCGAUGAAGGACGUGCUAAUCUGCGAAAAGCGUCGGUAAGGUGAUAUGAACCGUUAUAACCGGCGAUGUCCGAAUGGGGAAACCCAGUGCAAUUCGUUGCACUAUCGUUAACUGAAUACAUAGGUUAACGAGGCGAACCGGGGGAACUGAAACAUCUAAGUACCCCGAGGAAAAGAAAUCAACCGAGAUUCCCCCAGUAGCGGCGAGCGAACGGGGAGCAGCCCAGAGUCUGAAUCAGCUUGUGUGUUAGUGGAACGGUCUGGAAAGUCCGACGGUACAGGGUGAUAGUCCCGUACACCAAAAUGCACAGGUUGUGAACUCGAAGAGUAGGGCGGGACACGUGGUAUCCUGUCUGAAUAUGGGGGGACCAUCCUCCAAGGCUAAAUACUCCUGACUGACCGAUAGUGAACCAGUACCGUGAGGGAAAGGCGAAAAGAACCCCGGCGAGGGGAGUGAAAAAGAACCUGAAACCGUGUACGUACAAGCAGUGGGAGCACCUUCGGGUGUGACUGCGUACCUUUUGUAUAAUGGGUCAGCGACUUAUAUUCUGUAGCAAGGUUAACCGUAUAGGGGAGCCGCAGGGAAACCGAGUCUUAACUGGGCGUUAAGUUGCAGGGUAUAGACCCGAAACCCGGUGAUCUAGCCAUGGGCAGGUUGAAGGUUGGGUAACACUAACUGGAGGACCGAACCGACUAAUGUUGAAAAAUUAGCGGAUGACUUGUGGCUGGGGGUGAAAGGCCAAUCAAACCGGGAGAUAGCUGGUUCUCCCCGAAAGCUAUUUAGGUAGCGCCUCGUGAACUCAUCUUCGGGGGUAGAGCACUGUUUCGGCUAGGGGGUCAUCCCGACUUACCAACCCGAUGCAAACUACGAAUACCGAAGAAUGUUAUCACGGGAGACACACGGCGGGUGCUAACGUCCGUCGUGAAGAGGGAAACAACCCAGACCGCCAGCUAAGGUCCCAAAGUCAUGGUUAAGUGGGAAACGAUGUGGGAAGGCACAGACAGCCAGGAUGUUGGCUUAGAAGCAGCCAUCAUUUAAAGAAAGCGUAAUAGCUCACUGGUCGAGUCGGCCUGCGCGGAAGAUGUAACGGGGCUAAACCAUGCACCGAAGCUGCGGCAGCGACACUAUGUGUUGUUGGGUAGGGGAGCGUUCUGUAAGCCUGCGAAGGUGACCUGUGAGGGUUGCUGGAGGUAUCAGAAGUGCGAAUGCUGACAUAAGUAACGAUAAAGCGGGUGAAAAGCCCGCUCGCCGGAAGACCAAGGGUUCCUGUCCAACGUUAAUCGGGGCAGGGUGAGUCGACCCCUAAGGCGAGGCCGAAAGGCGUAGUCGAUGGGAAACAGGUUAAUAUUCCUGUACUUGGUGUUACUGCGAAGGGGGGACGGAGAAGGCUAUGUUAGCCGGGCGACGGUUGUCCCGGUUUAAGCAUGUAGGCUGAUUGUCCAGGCAAAUCCGGAUAAUCAAGGCUGAGGUGUGAUGACGAGGCACUACGGUGCUGAAGUAACAAAUGCCCUGCUUCCAGGAAAAGCCUCUAAGCAUCAGGUAACAUCAAAUCGUACCCCAAACCGACACAGGUGGUCAGGUAGAGAAUACCAAGGCGCUUGAGAGAACUCGGGUGAAGGAACUAGGCAAAAUGGUGCCGUAACUUCGGGAGAAGGCACGCUGGUGUGUAGGUGAAGCCCCUGCGGGUGGAGCUGAGACCAGUCGAAGAUACCAGCUGGCUGCAACUGUUUAUUAAAAACACAGCACUGUGCAAACACGAAAGUGGACGUAUACGGUGUGACGCCUGCCCGGUGCCGGAAGGUUAAUUGAUGGGGUUAUCCGUAAGGAGAAGCUCUUGAUCGAAGCCCCGGUAAACGGCGGCCGUAACUAUAACGGUCCUAAGGUAGCGAAAUUCCUUGUCGGGUAAGUUCCGACCUGCACGAAUGGCGUAAUGAUGGCCAGGCUGUCUCCACCCGAGACUCAGUGAAAUUGAACUCGCUGUGAAGAUGCAGUGUACCCGCGGCAAGACGGAAAGACCCCGUGAACCUUUACUAUAGCUUGACACUGAACAUUGAGCCUUGAUGUGUAGGAUAGGUGGGAGGCUUUGAAGCGUGGACGCCAGUCUGCGUGGAGCCAACCUUGAAAUACCACCCUUUAAUGUUUGAUGUUCUAACGUUGGCCCCUUACCGGGGUUGCGGACAGUGUCUGGUGGGUAGUUUGACUGGGGCGGUCUCCUCCCAAAGCGUAACGGAGGAGCACGAAGGUUAGCUAAUCCUGGUCGGACAUCAGGAGGUUAGUGCAAUGGCAUAAGCUAGCUUGACUGCGAGCGUGACGGCGCGAGCAGGUGCGAAAGCAGGUCAUAGUGAUCCGGUGGUUCUGAAUGGAAGGGCCAUCGCUCAACGGAUAAAAGGUACUCCGGGGAUAACAGGCUGAUACCGCCCAAGAGUUCAUAUCGACGGCGGUGUUUGGCACCUCGAUGUCGGCUCAUCACAUCCUGGGGCUGAAGUAGGUCCCAAGGGUAUGGCUGUUCGCCAUUUAAAGUGGUACGCGAGCUGGGUUUAGAACGUCGUGAGACAGUUCGGUCCCUAUCUGCCGUGGGCGCUGGAGAAUUGAGGGGGGCUGCUCCUAGUACGAGAGGACCGGAGUGGACGCAUCACUGGUGUUCGGGUUGUCAUGCCAAUGGCACUGCCCGGUAGCUAAAUGCGGAAGAGAUAAGUGCUGAAAGCAUCUAAGCACGAAACUUGCCCCGAGAUGAGUUCUCCCUGAGACUUUAAGUCUCCUGAAGGAACGUUGAAGACGACGACGUUGAUAGGCCGGGUGUGUAAGCGCAGCGAUGCGUUGAGCUAACCGGUACUAAUGAACCGUGAGGCUUAACCUUACAACGCCGAAG